GUGUCAGCCGCCGCGGUAAGACAUAGGUCGCAAACGUUAUCCGGAAUUAUUGGGCGUAAAGGAUGCGUAGAUGGUUCAGUAAGUUACUGGUGGGAAAUCGAGGCCCAACCUCGUGGAAGUUAGUAAUACUGUUGAACUUGAGUGCAGGAGAGGUUAACGGAACUUCAUGUGGAGCGGUAAAAUGCGUAGAUAUAUGAAAGAACAUCAAUAUAGCGAAGGCAGUUAACUAUUCUGCUACUGACAUUGAGGCAUGAAAGCGUGGGGAGCAAAACGGAUUAGAUACCCCUGUAGUCC
rnacentral:rRNA from 1 species